rnacentral:rRNA from 1 species
GACGAACGCUGGCGGCGUGCCUAACACAUGCAAGUCGAGCGAUGAAAUCCCUUCGGGGAUGGAUUAGCGGCGGACGGGUGAGUAACACGUGGGUAACCUGCCUCAAAGUGGGGGAUAGCCUUCCGAAAGGAAGAUUAAUACCGCAUAAUAUUAGAUUUUCGCAUGAAGAACUAAUUAAAGGAGCAAUCCGCUUUGAGAUGGACCCGCGGCGCAUUAGCUAGUUGGUGAGGUAAUGGCUCACCAAGGCGACGAUGCGUAGCCGACCUGAGAGGGUGAUCGGCCACAUUGGAACUGAGACACGGUCCAGACUCCUACGGGAGGCAGCAGUGGGGAAUAUUGCACAAUGGGGGAAACCCUGAUGCAGCAACGCCGCGUGAGUGAUGAAGGUCUUCGGAUUGUAAAGCUCUGUCUUUUGGGACGAUAAUGACGGUACCAAAGGAGGAAGCCACGGCUAACUACGUGCCAGCCGCCGCAGUAACAC